UACGGAGGAUGCGAGCGUUAUCCGGAUUUAUUGGGUUUAAAGGGUGCGUAGGCGGGAUGCCAAGUCAGCGGUAAAAAUGCGGUGCUCAACCCCGGCCGGCCGUUGAAACUGGCGUGCUCGAGUUGGAGAGAAGUAUGCGGAAUUCGUGGUGUAGCGGUGAAAUGCAUAGAUAUCACGAAGAACCCCGAUUGCGAAGGCAGCAUACCGGCUCCACACUGACGCUGAGGCACGAAAGCGUGGGUAUCGAACAGG
rnacentral:rRNA from 1 species